GACGAACGCUGGCGGCGCGCCUAACACAUGCAAGUCGAACGGAGCUGAGAGAAGCUUGCUUUUCUUAGCUUAGUGGCGAACGGGUGAGUAACGCGUGAGUAACCUGCCCUGGAGUGGGGGACAACAGUUGGAAACGACUGCUAAUACCGCAUAAGCCCACGAUCCGGCAUCGGCUUGAGGGAAAAGGAUUUAUUCGCUUCAGGAUGGACUCGCGUCCAAUUAGCUAGUUGGUGAGGUAACGGCCCACCAAGGCGACGAUUGGUAGCCGGACUGAGAGGUUGGACGGGCACAUUGGGACUGAGACACGGCCCAGACUCCUACGGGAGGCAGCAGUGGGGGAUAUUGCACAAUGGGCGAAACCCUGAUGCAGCGACGCCGCGUGGAGGAAGAAGGUUUUCGGAUUGUAAACUCCUGUCGUUAGGGACGAUAAUGACGGUACCUAACAAGAAAGCACCGGCUAACUACGUG
rnacentral:rRNA from 1 species